rnacentral:rRNA from 1 species
CGAAAGCUUGCUUUUGAUGGGUGUCGACCGGCGCACGGGUGAGUAACGCGUAUCCAACCUGCCCACCACAUGGGGAUAACCUUGCGAAAGUAAGACUAAUACCCAAUGAUAUCUCUAGAAGACAUCUGAAAGAGAUUAAAGAUUUAUCGGUGAUGGAUGGGGAUGCGUCUGAUUAGCUUGUUGGCGGGGUAACGGCCCACCAAGGCGACGACCAGUAGGGGUUCUGAGAGGAAGGUCCCCCACAUUGGAACUGAGACACGGUUCAAACCCCUACGGGAGGCAGCAGUGAGGAGUAUUGGUCAAUGGACGAGAGUCUGAACCAGCCAAGUAGCGUGCAGGAUGACGGCCCUAUGGGUUGUAAACUGCUUUUAUAAGGGAAUAAAGUGAGUCUCGUGAGACUUUUUGCAUGUACCUUAUGAAUAAGGACCGGCUAAUUCCGUGCCAGCAGCCGCGGUAAUACGGAAGGUCCGGGCGUUAUCCGGAUUUAUUGGGUUUAAAGGGAGCGUAGGCCGGAGAUUAAGCGUGUUGUGAAAUGUAGACGCUCAACGUCUGCACUGCAGCGCGAACUGGUUUCCUUGAGUACGCACAAAGUGGGCGGAAUUCGUGGUGUAGCGGUGAAAUGCUUAGAUAUCACGAAGAACUCCGAUUGCGAAGGCAGCUCACUGGAGCGCAACUGACGCUGAAGCUCGAAAGUGCGGGUAUCGAACAGGAUUAGAUACCCUGGUAGUCCGCACGGUAAACGAUGGAUGCCCGCUGUUGGUCUGAAUAGGUCAGCGGCCAAGCG